GGGAUGGUGUAGUGGUAACACACAUGACUCUGGAUCAUGUAUCGGAGGUUCGAAUCCUCCUCC
rnacentral:tRNA from 1 species